rnacentral:lncRNA from 1 species
UGUAUUAUUUUUAACGCUAAAAUUUUUCUUAAUCAGUUGCAAGCUCAUAGAGGCACGACUUUGGUUCACUUCUCCCCCAUCAGGCCAAACAUAAUGCCUCAGUAUCACAGGUCAUUUACUGAAUGAGAUAGCUUUGUUUUCUUCCCCUGAUUCUCUAAUGAGCGAUAUUAUGGUGCAAUGGUUUUUUAAUUCUGGCUCCCAUUGUAAGAAGCAACUGCAACAACUUUUUCUACAAACCUCACCAUUAGAUAUAGCAGUUUUGAUGUGCAACUUCUGAAACCAAACCAGGAAAAGACAUUAUGUAUUGAUGUUAGAAACCCACAAAUGCUUGUUUUAAAUACUUUCCACUGUUUAUUUUUUUCUAAUUCAUCAAAUGAAAUCUUUCCAUGUUUUAGCUCUAGGAGAGAUUAAGCACAUUCAAUCUAAUUAUGCAACCUCCUGGCAAAAGCAGUCUCAAUGUGAAACACUGUGCUGGUUGUAUUUCACAGUUGCUAAUGGAAACAGAGACAAGUUUGGAAAACUGCAAAGUCAAGUCUGAGCCUUGGCAUUAUCAUGCCUCUGAGGAAAGGCAUUUCCUGGGUCUGUUCUUUCUUUCCUUCACUCUCUGUAUGCAUGCUGUAUGCGUCCCGUCAGGCUCUACAAAUAACUGAAAAUGGUCACAUGAAGGCUCUCGUGUGUAUUAUCUGAUUGGAAAGUCUUUACAGCUCACUGACAGCAGUGAAGGCAGUGAGGGGCUGUGGUGUGAUCCAGGAGGCUGAGAAUUAUGCAGUGGGUGCUGUCACCUUGAAGACAUCAGCGUGAUCAGGCAGAUCAUCAUGGUACUGCAUUUCCUGGACACGAUCUUAAUUUUCUUAAUACCUCCACCGACAUUUCAAAUAGCGUCUCUAAUGCCCCAGAGACUUUUAUGCCCCUAAGGUAGUUUUCUUUCUUUUGUGAAGCAGAAGAAGGGAAAUUGUUAAAGGGAAUAUUUUAACUAAAUUUAUUUCCAUAAAACUAUCUUUGUCUUUAUAUCUCAUGGAAAGUGUUAGGUAGCCUCAGGAUUAUAUCUCCGUUGGAAAACUGUAGAUGUAAACCUUCUUGCUAUCUACAUACUUACAUAUUUUUCUGUUGUUAUUUACUUAUGAAUAGCAUUUUGAUUAUAGCAGAAAUAAAAUACAUUAAAUGACUAAGCUCAGAAAUAAGAAAAAAAGGUCAAUGGUGAUCAUUUAUUUGGAAACUAUGAUAUUUUAAUGAUAUUAAUGGUGUAAUUGACAUUUAGUUAAACAUAUUUCAUCGUAAGUAGAGCACUUUAACUCUUACGGUCCACUUAAAAUGUAAUCAUACGUUUAUGUAUUUCUAGUUAAUGUAUCAAACUCAACUGAGUAAUCAAUGUACAUCAUUUAUUUUGCUCCUAAGUUAAUACACUAAGUUAUGCUUUAAAAUUACUAAUUUGCUGCAAUAUCCAAUACUCUCUUUUAAGUCUUACGUCUGCAGAAAAGGAUAUAAACAUUUCAUGACACCAAACCCAAGUAUUUUUGAUGCCCUUGGCAGUGUCAGUUGAACAGACAGUGUCAUUUAAUGUUUGAGACAGCAUCUGAAUUCCUUUUAUUCUUAAAAUUCUAUUUUAAAAUGCAGUUUUUGGAAAGUUAAUGUGAAUAGAAAAAUUUCUAACAUUUUAUGUGCAUGUGUUUUGUUUGUUACAGGCUUAGCAUCUCAAAUCUGAAAAUUCGAAAUCUGAAAUGUUUCUAAAAUUCAACUCUUUUGAGUGCUGAUAUGACUUUCAAAGGAAAAGCUCAUUGGAGCAUUUCAGAUUUUGGAUUUUUGGAUUUGGGAUGUUUAACCAGGGUAAAAUAUAGAAUGCAAAUAUUCCAAAAUCUGAAUAAAAUUGAAAUCUGAAAUGCUUAUGGUUCCAAGCAUUUUGGAUAAGGGAUAAUUAAGCUGUAUAACUUAUAAAACUGAAUAUAACAAAAUUUCCCAACAUGUGGAAAAUGAUGUCUUUUUUCAAAAAUGUCAAUAGCAGAUACAUGGUACAGUAAGUUAGGGGAAAAAAUGAGGUUUCAUAUCUUCUAGUUUCCUAAUUAAAAGGAGCCCAUUCUGGGUUGGAAGAAAGUGUCAGUAAGAUCAUUUCUCCUAUUUGAAAAUCAUACAAAGCUUGUCAGAGUGACUCAGGCCAGGAGUGUAGCUGGGCGUGUAGCUAAAUGAUAUCUCCCCACAUCUAUAUAAUAAGCUGUUACCUGCUUUAAAAGGAAAAGCUCUCAGCAUGACUCUAAUGUUGCAUUUCUGGAAUACAGCUUGAAAAGCUCUUCUCAGGGUUGAACAGAGCAUGAAGGUAAUGGUUAUUAUCUACUCACAUUAAAAAAAAAAAAAAAGAAAGAAACCACCACAGAAAACUACUUACUGUCUUUAGGCUCUACUUUCAAAAGUGCCCUUUAUGAACGCUUUUACACUGUUGAUGGGAGUGUAAAUUAGUUCAACCAUUGUGGAAGACAGUGUGGUGAUUCCUCAAGGAUCUAGAAUCAGAAAUACCAUUUGACCCAGCAAUCCCAUUACUGGGUAUAUACCCAAAGGAUUAUAAAUCAUUCUAUUAUAAAGACACAUGCACACGUAUGUUUAUUGCAGCACUGUUCACAAUAGCAAAGACUUGGAACCAACCCAAAUGCCCAUCAAUGAUAGACUGGAUAAAGAAAUUGUGGCACAUACACACCAUGGAAUACUAUGCAGCCAUAAUAAAAGAUGAGUUCAUGUCCUUUGCAAGGACAUGGACAAAGCUGGAAACCAUCAUUCUCAGCAAACAAGAACAGAAAAUCAAACACUGCAUGUUCUCAGUCUAAGUGGGAGCUGAACAAUGAGAAAACAUGGACACAGAGAGGGGAACAUCACACACUGGGCCUGUUGGGGGGUAGGGGGCUAGGGGAGGGAUAGCAUUAGGAGAAAUACCUAAUGUAAAUGACAGGUUAAUGGGUGCAGCAAACCACCAUGGCAUGUGUAUACCUAUGUAACAAACCUGCAUGUUCUGCACAUGUAUCCCAGAACUUAAAGUAUAAAUAAAUAAAUGAAUAAAUAAAUAAAUUUUAAAAAGU